UAUGUGGUUUGUGUCAUCAUGCGCAACGGACUCUCCAUUUUCCGAAUGGUUCAGCUUCCAAUCCAGAACCCACAAAACCCCUACUAAUUGAUCUUCCAAUCCCAUCAAUCAAGACCUCUCGAGCUCCAACAAUGGCGGACCUUGAACAACCCACCAUCAUCGAGCAUCGAGAAGAGCUCAUGGUCUCACUCUCCGGCGGAAACCCAACUCUCCGACCCUCCCAUUUCCUCAAACCCUCUGUUUCCGCCAUUGAAGACCCAAUCUUCGAGCUUCAAAACCCAAGUCUCAAUCUCUCUGAUCUUCCAUUGAAGGUCGCAUUCAAAGGCUCCCGAGACCCUCUGAGAAAGUGGGAAGAUUGGGUCGAUCGAAUGAAAUCUCUGCACCAACUCACAUGGAAGAAAGCUGGGAUCUUUGAAGCAAUCAUCACUUCUACGUAUCAAAUCCGUAUCGACACUGACAUUGUUUUAGGGCUUGGUUCUCGAUUUUGUUCUGAGACGAACACGUUUGUGUUUCCAUGGGGAGAAGCUACGGUUACUCUGGAAGAUGUUGUGGUGUUGGGUGGUUACUCUGUUCUUGGAGACUCUGUUUUGGGUACUGUCGAAAUCGAAGAAUUGGGUGAAAUUGAUGAGAAAUUGUUGAGAGUUCGAACUGAAAUCACCCGAAGCAAGUCUAGAAAAGCCGAUCAACAUCAAUGGACGAAGAGGUUCAUGAAUAGUGGAAGCGAAAUCGAGCACGAAGCGUUUUUAGUACUCUGGUUGUCCAGGCAUGUUUUUCCAAACUCUUUCAAUAAUGUUGGUAAACAUGUUCACCAUAUCGCGAUUCGUCUCGCUAGAGGGAUAAAGAUUGCUCUUGCUCCAGCUGUUCUUUCGCGGAUUUAUCGCGAUUUGAGAUUGUUGAAAGAAGCAAUUGUUGGUUCUAUGAUUAGUAGGAGAACUAAUGAAGAUGGUGCUGAACUAGGUCUAAUUGAUUUAUGGGCACCAAUGCAUCUUGUUCAGAUUUGGGGUUGGGAGAGAUUUCCCUCAUUGAGGCCAAUACCCAAUUUGAUUGAACACGGGGAGCCAAGAAUGGCUCGAUGGAACAAGGCGAAGAGACCGGGUAUUGAGAAUGUGGGAUCGGUUAUAGACUCUGCCGGAGACAGCUUCCAAUGGCGCCCUUUCGCCAUUUCUGAGAAAAGCUGGCUUCUUUAUGAGUUCUACAAAGAAAGAGAAGAGUGGGUGUCUUGUACUGAAAUGGAUGAAGAUUUGGAGUCAUUUGCUCGGUUUUUGAGGGCUUGUGAGUUGGUUGGCCUAGACUGUAUAGAACAGUAUCUUCCUCAUCGCGUUGCCAUGCAAUUUGGGAUGGAUCAAGAUCUUCCAGGCCGUGUGGCUCGGUUCAAUGAAACACCCGAAAUUGCCUGGGAAAAUUACACCAGACCAAUUGGAGAUGCAAAAUUGUACGUUCCAUCACGACUCUUCGAGUCAGAUGUUACCACUCGAUAUCUGAAGUGGUGGAUUCCAUCAAAUUUUGUACAGGAAAAGAAUUUGAGAAAAAAAUCACCCAGUUCUAAGGGAAAGAAGGUAGACAAUGAUGCCCCCAAAACCAAGAGGAUCAAAGCGGCAAAAUCUAUUGGCAAAGAUGAGCACAUACUCGAGUCUUCUCAAUGCACAAAACCUCAAACUUCAUCACCUCUAAUUGCAGAUAAUGGAGAUGGGAAAGAGAUGGAAUCUCAAGUGGAACCAGGAGAACAUACUAGGUGUAAUGAAGCGGUGAUGGGGGAAUCGUGUCAAUUCACUGAAAAUGUAAUUGAGAGUAGAGCAGGGAUUCAGAUUGAUAAUGGGGUAAGCAUCAACAAAAAUGAAGGAGAUAUCGAUAUCGACGAUAUACCUGGGUUUCCGGUAUCGGAACUUGAAGCCCGGAUUAGCAGACUCGAGAAUUUUUUUGCUCAGCUAAAAGCAGCAAGAGCUAGGCGUUAGUUUCGAUUAAGGGCAACAAAAGUCAUAAAAGUCCGAGUUUGGUGUACAGUUGAGAAACCCUAAUCAGAACAUGCAGUGUGUUUUCCUUGGGAUAAUUCAAAAUGUCAAGGAAGUGGACAAUUUAUUCUUGCUUCUUGUGGUGAAUAGCUAGCUUGAAUCACCAUCUUUGCAUCUAAAAAGAAGGUAUUAGAUGUCAACAAAGAUGAGUUGCUUUUCGUGUUGCAUGUCCGAAGAGCAAGUCAGCCAAAAAUCAUUGAAGAAAAGCAUCAAGGAAUAUAAAGACACGAAAACUUUGGCCUCCUUUGCUAACAUAUCCUUCAAGUCUGAUGGAAGCAAGAGGAGGUACAUUGCUGAAGAGAUAGCGAAGAUCGGAAAAGGGAAUAUUACUGCUCAGAUUUUCACAUUCAAAGACCUGUCUGCUGCAACCCAGAACUUCAACCCUGACUGCUUGGUGGGU